rnacentral:rRNA from 1 species
AUUAUUUUAAGCUAAAAGUUGUUAGUAAAUAUAAUUUAUGAAAUCAUAAGAUUUUGGCGGUAUUUUAAGCUUUUUAGAGGAAUUUGCUCUGUAAUGGAUAAAACGCCUAAAUCUUACUUAGUUUUGUUAGUCAAUUUGUAUACCACUAUAUAAAUUAUAUUGAAUAAUUAUGCUUAAAAUUUUUUUGAAAAAGUAUAUUAAGUCAAGGUGCAAUAAAAGACUAUGAAUGAAGUGAAUUACAUUGAUUAUAAUUGAUUUGUUAUGAAAAUAGAAAAUUAGGAUUUAAAAGUAAAUUGUUAAUAUUAUGAAUAAUUGAAUAAAGCUCUAAAAUA